AUUUAUUAAUCGAAUAACAAUAUAGUAUUACAUUUUUUUACAAUAAAAAAUAAAUAAAAUGUCAACUUGAUCUGACCUAGUUCUUCAAAAGUUCAAGCUCUGUUGUGUAGUGUUCUCUGAAUAACAUAAAAACAAGUAUACUACAAAAAUAAAAUAAGAAGUAAAAAUAAAAUUUUAAAGAUCUAUAAAUUGAAAAAGAAGAUCAAAUGUAAAUGUGAACUACUAGAAGUCACUUUGAAAAAGUUAAAUGAUAAUGAUAACAAUAAAAAAAAAGCCUUUCUCAAUUUUUACUUGGCUCAAAGUUACAAUGAAAUUAUUCAUUUCCCUUACUGGUCAUACCCUUUCUCAGUAACCAAACGCAGAAUUUUGAAACAGAAACAUACACAACCUUGAAAACAAUCACCAUUAGAUAAUAUUCGAUCCUAGCAAGUGAUAAUAAGAGUACUACUACUUAGCAAAACUAAAAUCUAGUAACAAUUCCUUUCAGAAAGAAAAAUAAUAAUAACCGAUAUCCAAUUUCAACAAACAUAAAUAAACUCAGAAAAGAUUUAGAGAAAUUAAGAAAGAAACACUGGUAACCCAAAAAAAAAAAAAGGGAAAUCAAAAGCUUACCAUAGAAUGUGAUUUGACCGUGAAUUUGUCGAUUCUCCAAUAGUUGGGGUUUGCUCGCCUUUGACAAACAAAAAGAUUUGAGCGUUAAAAAUCGAGCUCCGGUUCGAAUGGUUCUUCAAGCAAUAACUUUGAAAUGCUACAGGAUACGAUUUUUUUGGUUUAAGGGAUCUGGGAGAGUGAAUGAAAGAUUCUAGUUAGGGAUUUAAGAGUUGAGAGGGAAAAUUUUAGACCAGAGAGGGAAGAUGAAAAUUUUGUACAUGGUUUUCUUCUUUAUCUUAAGAGAAAACGGUGUUGUAUUCUCUUUAUAACAUGGGAAAUAAUAAAAAGUUCAUCAGUGCUAAACAGUUAAAACGCCGAGAAAAGGCCGAGAGAAAUUACAUUUGUAUUGUCGUUUCGCUUCUCUCCCUCUCUCAACAUUAUAAACAUUUUUUUUUUAAUUAAAAAAAAAAGCCAGAUCAUCCUUAUUGUCCAUCUGUCUCGAGCUUCUCUUAUCCUUACUCUCUCACGACUGCAGAUCGUUCUCACUCUCUCUGUCCCGACUUCUCUUAUCCUCACUGUCUCAUGACUGCAGAUUAUCCUCGCCCUCUCUCUGCCUCAACUUCUCUUAUCCUUACUCUCUCCAGUCUUCCUCACUCUCUCCAGAUCGUCGUUCCCCAUCACGCUUCCUCAUUCUCUGCGGCCUCACUCUCCGCGCCUGUUGGCUGUUUAUGGUUAGUGAUUAAUGUUUGUUUUUAAUUUUUUUGAAAAUUAAUUUUGUAAAUCAUUGUACUGCCGUUUAGAGUAUUAAUUGCAAUACAAACCAAAAAUCCGCCUGUUUAUGGAUUAAUUUUGUAAAUUUUGGUGGUAAUUAUUUGACGAUAAAGAUGAAUCUUUUGUUUGGAAUAUUAAUUGUGUGAGAAUUGCUGUGAAAAUUGCUGGAUUUUUAAUUUGGAGUCUUAAUUGUGUGAAAAUUAUUAUGGAAAUUGUUGGAUUUUUCAUUUGAAGUCUUAAUUGUGUGAAAAUUGUUGUGGAAAUUGCUGGAUUUUUCGUUAGAUAUAUUAAUUGUGUGAAAAUUGCUACAAAAAUUACUAGAUUUUGAUUCAAUGUGAUGUAGAAAUAUGAGUCGGGUGAAAAUUUUAUUGAUCUGUUAAGAAAAUGUCUAAUUUAAGCUGGGGUCAUUGCUGUGAAUAUGUAGGUCUGAAUUUGGUAUUCCAUAUGUAGAAAUUUUGGUCUUUAACGUUUUGUAUGGGGAGUAGUUCUAGGGAUAGAUGAACGCAAAUGAAGAUAUUUAGUGUAGUUGGCAAUGACCCCGGAAAAAGAUAUUCUCCUUAUCUCUUCUUAACUUUUCAAGAUCUCCUGCCAUGUGUAUUUUAGUGGUAGUGUAUAGGUAAAAUU
rnacentral:lncRNA from 1 species